rnacentral:rRNA from 1 species
UACGAAGGGGGCUAGCGUUGCUCGGAAUCACUGGGCGUAAAGGGUGCGUAGGCGGGUCUUUAAGUCAGGGGUGAAAUCCUGGAGCUCAACUCCAGAACUGCCUUCGAUACUGGGAGUCUCGAGUUCGGGAGAGGUGAGUGGAACUGCGAGUGUAGAGGUGAAAUUCGUAGAUAUUCGCAAGAACACCAGUGGCGAAGGCGGCUCACUGGCCCGAUACUGACGCUGAGGUGCGAAGCGUGGGGAGCAAACAGG